AUGUGUGAUGUCUUCAAGUUUUCGUGUAACUCGUCGCUUGAGAUAACAUUCUAGAUAAGUAGUGCUCUCUGAUUCAAUUGUACUUUAAAUCCAUGAACAGUACUUAACAAUGUAUGUUUAACUUUUAUAUAGUAUAUUUUACAUGACAGAUUAGAUUCUUCUCCUCUGAAAGUUGUUUAAGGUCUUCUUUUCAACUGUUUAGGCCUGCUUUACAGUUUGCACAUGUGAUCUUCCCCUUAAUAAUUAGGGAUUAAAGGUUAACCAAGAUCGGUUUCACUUGGUCUUGUUAAUUCGUGGAUCAUCCUAUACAUGCGUAGCUAGCCAUUGCAAUCAUCGAUCUGUGUUCUAGCUGCACUAGUGUCGGUUGAUAAAGUGACCCUUUGUUCAGAUUCCAUUGGUAUCACCAUCGAUCAAUCCUCAUUACCAACCUCAUGACUUUGAAUAUUUCUCGUCUGCUUUCAAGCUUUCAUCUACAUAAUAAAUCUGACCAAUAUUAAGCC
rnacentral:lncRNA from 1 species